AUACCAAACAGGCGCUAUUUUGACCGAUUUACAACGGAGCUUAAAAAUGCUAAUAGAACCGCUGGUAUCCCACCAAUUCAUAGCGGCUCAAGAAAUGGCUGGCAAUUUUCGGUUGCAAUUUCCCGUGUCUGUUAUAGAUGAUAUUUUUUCCU